AAAAUAGAAAGUACCACCAUGGAUACACCCAAUCUCAUCUGAUCUUGGAAGCUAAGCAGGGUUGGGCCUUGGUAGUACUUGGAUAGGAGAAAAUAAAAUAUUGUA
rfam:Erinaceus europaeus unplaced genomic scaffold scaffold00601, whole genome shotgun sequence